GAGGGUAGAGCUUAGUGGUAGAGCCUAUGCUUAACACACACGAGAUCCUGGAUUCAAUCCCCAGUACCUCUA
rnacentral:tRNA from 1 species